ACAGCAGCCGCCGCGGGAAUACGUAGGGUGCAAGCGUUAAUCGGAAUUACUGGGCGUAAAGCGUGCGCAGGCGGUUAUAUAAGACAGAUGUGAAAUCCCCGGGCUCAACCUGGGAACUGCAUUUGUGACUGUAUAGCUAGAGUACGGCAGAGGGGGAUGGAAUUCCGCGUGUAGCAGUGAAAUGCGUAGAUAUGCGGAGGAACACCGAUGGCGAAGGCAAUCCCCUGGGCCUGUACUGACGCUCAUGCACGAAAGCGUGGGGAGCAAACAGGAUUAGAUACCCCCGGUAGUCCCUGUCUCUUAUU
rnacentral:rRNA from 1 species